GAUGAACGCUGGCGGCGUGCCUAAUACAUGCAAGUCGAGCGAAUGGAUUAAGAGCUUGCUCUUAUGAAGUUAGCGGCGGACGGGUGAGUAACACGUGGGUAACCUGCCCAUAAGACUGGGAUAACUCCGGGAAACCGGGGCUAAUACCGGAUAACAUUUUGAACCGCAUGGUUCGAAGUUGAAAGGCGGCUUCGGCUGUCACUUAUGGAUGGACCCGCGUCGCAUUAGCUAGUUGGUGAGGUAACGGCUCACCAAGGCAACGAUGCGUAGCCGACCUGAGAGGGUGAUCGGCCACACUGGGACUGAGACACGGCCCAGACUCCUACGGGAGGCAGCAGUAGGGAAUCUGCCGCAAUGGACGAAAGUCUGACGGAGCAACGCCGCGUGAGUGAUGAAGGCUUUCGGGUCGUAAAACUCUGUUGUUAGGGAAGAACAAGUGCUAGUUGAAUAAGCUGGCACCUUGACGGUACCUAACCAGAAAGCCACGGCUAACUGCGUGCCAGCCGCCGCCGUAA
rnacentral:rRNA from 1 species